rnacentral:lncRNA from 1 species
CAGGGAUUCCCCCGUGAAAGGCUGCCGUAUUCCAAAAGCACAGGGGCCAAUGUUUAUUCCCCGGAAGAUGCUAUUCGGUCCCAUUUAGCUGGCUGAUUGGAUUUCAGCAUUCAAGGUUUGCUGUCAUCAGCGAAGACGAUCAGCUUGACGUGGCCAGUGACCUUGUUACUCGGCACCUGCUUUUAACACUGCUUGAGCUACUGUACCGGAGAAUUUGAACUUUGAGCAACUUUGGCUUCUCCUUUUCCUCGGGAAAGCGAAGGGACUUUUGGGGGUGAAAAAAAAAACAUAUAAUGUGAAAAACGGCCUGAGCAACAAAAGGUUUUCUGUGAUGUGUAAGACGUGCUGGUUGGGAUAAGGGGCUCUUUUGACAAAAUCUAUGUAAGGAGACACACGAAUCCUUACAUUAAGGAUGCAAUUAAUGAAAUUCAAGAUGGUGCCUUUUUUUCUUCUUUCACAGUUCUGCUACAAAGGCGGGGCAGCCCCCGCAAUCCUGAUGGCAUUUGAAAAGAUAUAAAAGCCGCAACAUCUCCCCAUUUUUGCAACACUGGUAGAUGUGCAAUAUUGUGCUUUGUACUGUAUGAUCGAGGAACCGCUCCACUUAUCCCCAAAGAUGCUGUGCAGGAAUAUUGUCCUCCUCUCAUUGGCGAUCCUCUUUGUGCAAGCUGAUCUUGAUCAAGAUGGGGACAAUCAAGCCAUGUCCACAGACCAAGACUCAACUUCAGAUGAAGCUCCAACAGAGAGCAUGAACUCCAUUUCUUCUGACCAGCCUAAUGAUGAACCACAGUAUUACCACGGAGGUGCAGGAGGUGCAAGCAGCACGAGCUCAGAAGUCACUAAUGAUGGACAUCAUCUUAGCAAUGGUCUAACUGGCCGUGCUGAUGGUAGCAAAUCCAGCAACGAGGACCAGGAUGAGUACCAGAGCCCAAACUCAGAGGAAGCCAAGCGCUGAUCAAAACUCAGAGGGUCACCCUGAGGAAGCUUCUUUCGACUGGUGCUGUGUUACCUGAACACCAUUAUAUAUCCAAAGCUUUAGUGUAGGACUUAGACUGUAGACUUUUGAUAAUCUGCUCUCAACAAAAAGUCAGUGUUUCGAUCAAAAGUAUUUGUCCUACCACAUUUUCAGCAAAUUUCUAUGUAUUCAGUAUUUUAUGUUUUUUUUUAAACAAGGAUAACUGUCAAAUCAAGCGACAUGAAAUGUACUUACUAUUCCUACGUUAUCCCUUACUUAAUAAACUUCUCAAGGCAAACA